CAGGGAAAGAGGAAGGAGGCUAAAUGAUGAGCAACCUGUAAUUGGCUAUGGAAGGAGAAAGGAAAACACAGUCAACUGGUAAAGGGCUGGAUUGGUCUAUCCUGGUUGCACACCUCACAUGCUGGAUGGUCCCACUCUUGCUCUGGCAUCUCUGGUUGGAGGCACCUCAGCAGCAGUGACUUCGUCCCUUUGCUUCUUGAGGAGGAAAAAAGGAAAACAGCUUUUGAAGGCUCCUUGUUGGGCUCACAGCUGGAUUUGGGAACCAGACAAGAAGUUACCUGGGGCUGACACAGAAGUCUUUGACAUAGCCUCACUUAAUAGGACAGCUCACAUCCCAGACAGCAACAUAAGGAAGGAACAGCAGUAUUCCCACGGUGCUGUACUUCUGACCACUCUUGAGAUGAGUGCCCUCAGCCUGACACAGAGUAGGAAUAAACCAGGAGCCCUGUGGUCCACUCUGGAGCCGGGAACCAUGGGCUCUCCUUACCACGGCCCAUGCCUUCACUGGGAAAUGUUCUUGAGGAAAAUAAAGACUGGGACCAAAAAUAAAGAAGCAUGAAUGUAGCAAUGAUUAUAUGGAGUAUUAAUGAGUAAUUCCAUGUUUGUAUUCCCAGGGAUUAAUCC